AGCUAUAAGGAAUUUAUUUUUAGUAAAACCUGCCCAGUGAUUUUUUUUUAACGGCCGCAGUACCAUGACUGUGCUAAGGUAGCAUAAUAAAUUGGCUUUUAAUUAGAGUCUGGAAUGAAUGGAUUUUUAAAGUUAAGCUGUCAUAAAAAUAUUAAUUUUAACUUAUUUAUUUGGUGAAAAUACCAAAAAUUUUUAAAAAAGACGAGAAGACCCUAAGAAUUUAUAUUUUUUUUUGUUGGGGCGACAAAAAGACAUUUUUAACUCUUUGUUUUAUUACUUAUAUAACGAAAUUUUUAAUAAUAAAUAAAUUACCUUAGGGAUAACAGCAUAAUUAGAUUUUUUUUCUGUUUAUGACCUCGAUGUUGGAUUAGAAUCUUUUUUAGCUAGUCGCUAAAAAAUAAUGUUCUGUUCGAACAAAUAAUUUCU
rnacentral:rRNA from 1 species